UACGUAGGUGGCAAGCGUUAUCCGGAUUUACUGGGUGUAAAGGGCGUGUAGGCGGGGUCGCAAGUCAGGCGUGAAAUUCCACGGCUCAACCGUGGAACUGCGUUUGAAACUGUGAUUCUUGAGUGAUGGAGAGGCAGGCGGAAUUCCGUGUGUAGCGGUGAAAUGCGUAGAUAUACGGAGGAACACCAGUGGCGAAGGCGGCCUGCUGGACAUUAACUGACGCUGAGGCGCGAAAGCGUGGGGAGCAAAUAGG
rnacentral:rRNA from 1 species